AAAUAGUUGCUUUUGGAGAAGAAUAUGAGUCGAUGAUGUCAUGGAAGAGUAAACCUUUUAGUAUGGUUGUACGUUUUACCUUGAUUCUUUAUUUGUGAAAAUCAAUAAGAAAAGAACUCAACUGACCGAGAAGCAUCUGCAAUCCGUGAUGAAGGUGUUGAAUGUGUUGGCUGUAUGAAGAACUUCGAGAUGUUUUCCUCCUGUGCACUACAAACCCUGGUCAGAUUCCAUUGGAAAGUUCUAUACAGAUUUGUCUUUCAUCAUUUCCAGCUUUAGACUAAAAAAGAGUAAUAAGCCUCCAGAUUUAGUACAAUAUGUAUCCGUUAAAUACAUUUUUCAGACCAGAAAUCCUGUAUUCUUCUUUAUGGUGCUACUUGAAGUCACGGGUAUGAAGAUAUCAUCCUAUGAUACUCGCAAUAUGAAAAAUGCUAAAUAUCAAUAAUUCUAAUAUGAAUUAUGCUACUGUUGUUCCAGGUUCUUUUGCAGUAAGU